rnacentral:lncRNA from 1 species
UUAAUUUCCUUAUUUGAUUUCAAGUGAUGGAUAUAAUGCCUUCUUAUAGUAUGCUAUUGGGAUGCCCCUAGAUUCAUUCAACGGGAUGGUAUCAUCAUCCUUGCACCAAAGAUUGAAAUUUGUAGUCGAUCAGAAUUUGUGCAUCGUGCAAGGCAAAGAUGACCUAUUGGUAGCUGGCUUGCCAAAUUCUCAUUUCGUAGAAGUUGAUGAUGAUGCAAUAGAGAGUUCUUUCUGGAGCUUUGAGGUGUCCACUUCAUCUUACGUGUUAGAGGGAAUACGAGCCACUAAGCCUCAUGUGCCA